GACGAACGCUGGCGGCGUGCCUAAUACAUGCAAGUCGAACGCACAGUUUAUACCGUAGCUUGCUACACCAUAGACUGUGAGUUGCGAACGGGUGAGUAACGCGUAGGUAACCUGCCUGGUAGCGGGGGAUAACUAUUGGAAACGAUAGCUAAUACCGCAUAAUAUUAAUUAUUGCAUGAUAAUUAAUUGAAAGGUGCAAUUGCACCACUACCAGAUGGACCUGCGUUGUAUUAGCUAGUAGGUGAGGUAACGGCUCACCUAGGCGACGAUACAUAGCCGACCUGAGAGGGUGAUCGGCCACACUGGGACUGAGACACGGCCCAGACUCCUACGGGAGGCAGCAGUAGGGAAUCUUCGGCAAUGGACGAAAGUCUGACCGAGCAACGCCGCGGGAGUGAAGAAGGUUUUCGGAUCGUAAAGCUCUGUUGUAAGAGAAGAACGGGUGUGAGAGUGGAAAGUUCACACUGUGACGGUAGCUUACCAGAAAGGGACGGCUAACUACGUG
rnacentral:rRNA from 1 species